CUCGACCAUCGAUGUUUCCCUCGGCUUCGCCUCGGGAAACAUCGACGGUCUCGGGUCCACAAAACACACUGUUUCCCUCGGUCUCAGUAAAUAAGUGAUAAUUAUUGUUUUUAAUUUUAUAAACGAUAUCAGUUUAUAACCGCAUUAUCAUACAGGUAUAAAGAUUAAAUCGUAAUUAAUUUGUAUAUAUGUGUAUUGUUAUUUUGAUGUAUGUAUUGUAGUGGACCCUUGUGCAACCGUGAGGUGCGGGAAUGGAACAAAAUGCAUUGUAAAAGGUGGAAAAGCCCAUUGUCAGACAGG